GACCAACGCUGGCGGCGUGCCUAAUACAUGCAAGUAGAACGCUGAAGGAGGAGCUUGCUUCUCUGGAUGAGUUGCGAACGGGUGAGUAACGCGUAGGUAACCUGCCUGGUAGCGGGGGAUAACUAUUGGAAACGAUAGCUAAUACCGCAUAAGAGUAGAUGUUGCAUGACAUUUGCUUAAAAGGUGCAAUUGCAUCACUACCAGAUGGACCUGCGUUGUAUUAGCUAGUUGGUGGGGUAACGGCUUACCAAGGCGACGAUACAUAGCCGACCUGAGAGGGUGAUCGGCCACACUGGGACUGAGACACGGCCCAGACUCCUACGGGAGGCAGCAGUAGGGAAUCUUCGGCAAUGGACGGAAGUCUGACCGAGCAACGCCGCGUGAGUGAAGAAGGUUUUCGGAUCGUAAAGCUCUGUUGUAAGAGAAGAACGAGUGUGAGAGUGGAAAGUUCACACUGUGACGGUAUCUUACCAGAAAGGGACGGCUAACUACGUG
rnacentral:rRNA from 1 species